AAUCUAAUGGGAAUAAACCCGUAUAGGAGGAUUCGAACAUCGGGAAUGCCUAGUUGCUUAAGCGUUCAUGUUAGGGUCACACAAUCAAUUACCUCCUGAAUGUAUCGUCUCUAUUUCCAAUAUCUGAACACACAAGGAAACUAUAAUCUCCUCCUUCACCUUAUUGGUCUCUUCCUUAUAGCAAUUCAAUCAUACCAAUAACUCCUAUUUCCACCAAUAUAUUCACCCUCAUAAUCUCUAAUUGUAAUACUGUGCCCUCAUAGCUUUCAGCACACAAUUACCCUCAUUCUAAUCACUGGAAUUCUUGACAUAGAACUGCCAUUCACAUUACGGUGUUUCACACAAAUACAUAUUCAUUCUCUGUGCUGAAUUACAAUCAGAUUUUAGCAUUCAAUCUUUCUUCUUCUCAAAUAAUACCAAUCACAUUUCCAUUCCAUAAUUCACUUCACAAUAUUCAGAAACUCUCAAUCUUCUUAUUCAAAGAAAAUAACAAACAAAAGAAAAGAGGUAGCACCAAGCUUACCUUGGCUCACACUAUCACAGCGAUGGCACCCUAAUUAACUUCUAUAACUUCUAUAUACUUCCCCCGGAUUCUCCAGAUUUUAAUCGUAAUUCUGUAAUUAACCACUUUUAAGAACUAAAUCACUCAUCCGUCCUUCUGAAUUUCCUAUAAUAUGGACUAUUAAUAUAUUUUACCAAUAUCUUUCAAAAAUAAAUUAAUAUCUAUUUUACAUAGUCUCACUCCUAUCUAUGCAAUGUCCUCGCAAACACUCAAUUGAUACCUAUCUAAAAACUACUUAACAAAUCUCCACAAAAUUACUAGUUCCUCUAGCCCACCUAAUUAAUCAUUUGUUGCAUUAUCGAAUGUAAGUUCGACCAAAUCUGGUUCCAACUACAAAUCUUCUUCUUCUUCCUCUAGUCCAUGGACUCCUUCCUCAAUUGAUUUGAUAGAUCUUCAUUAUACUCACCUAGUACAUAGACUUGAGCAUCCAGUUUCAAGAUCUAGACAUCCCAAAGUUCCAAUUGUUGUUGCUGCUAACUCAUCCAUUCUGGAAUAUCUUCAAUUAACACUUAUGACCGACUCUUCACUGUUAACUCUUAAUUGGAACUACUACUCUCGAAAACACAAGAAAUAUAAGAAAAUGGCACUCCAGCCAACCCAAAACAACACCACAGAAUGACUUUAAUUGGUGCCCCACUCUUAUUCUUUUACUACUUGGUGAUAAUGACAACAUAUUAUCCAUACUGUCUGUGAAAGGUAAUGGGAAGUAAUCUUUCUUAGUGGCCGCAUUUAACUUUCAAAAAUCUUGACAUAUCCUGAUUUUUUCAUUCUUCUUCGGCACCAUUAUGAUUGGCAACAUCCAUGUACUAUGCGGAACAGGAUAAAUAAAAUCCACGUCGAGAAGUUUAUCCAAUUCCUCUUUCACUAAAAGGAAAUAUUUUGGGUUAAGCCGGUGUUGUCUUUGACAAACUGGCAUAACACCCUCCUCCAAAAUAAUCUAGUGCUCACACACGUCAACCGGAAUCCCUUUCAAAUCUGCAUACAACCAUGCAAAGGCAAAUUUGUGAUAGACGAAAAACUGUUUCCAAGCAUCUAAUUCUGUACCUAUAAUACCGACAUAUAUUUUAAUUAGUUGUGGAAUUUUGUUGUUACCUAGGUUAAUGGAUUGACAUUUAGGGUCUUCAACAACCUCUGAUUUAAUUGUCUUCUCCUAAUUUGAAUAUCUUGUAUUAUUCGACAUAUGGGAACCACCCAAAUCUAGUUCCAAUGUGUUGACUCUAUUGACUGCGGAAUUGUUUAUCCAUUCAGCAAUAGCAUGAUCCAAGUUAGUUGCAUCCUCUUGAUGCAGUAAAUAUUCAUCGGGACCUCCACAUUGGUAGACUCCUGUCUUUGCUGUUGAAGUGUUUUAUCCUACCCCAAAUUGUAGUGAACUUAUAGCAUCGGCAUCUUCCUCAAUUGAUUGACUCUCGUUGUCCGAUGUAAAUUUUGAUUUUGGCAAUUGAAAUUCUCCAUAAUAUUGUAUCGGAUACAUUUGUAGAAGAAUCUAGUCCCGGCCUUUUUCAAUUGUCAAUGUGCUUCGGCCCCAAUCGUUCUUAGCUUUGGCUUAAUAAAGCCAACGUCUGCCCAAUAAAAUGGAAUACGAUAAUAUAGAACUCUGUAAUUGGAAUAUAAUAUAAUCGAUUUUGUAUGUCAAUCCGGUGAUUACAGUGGUAAUAUUUUGUAAGAUUCCCAUUGGCUUUACCCGACUAUGAUCUGCCAUUCGGAAGACCAAUGUCGUAGGUAACAAUUGCUUUAGAUCUAAGUCCUUCAUUGUAUCCGCGUUCAUUAAAUUCAUACUGGAGCCACCAUUGACUUAUACCCGUAGAAUUAAAAUGCCAUCGUUUGAUACAUCGAUUAUUGGUGCUCACGGAUCUGGAUUUAAGUUAACUUCAUGAAUUUCUUUAGUGUGGAAUCUUCGUCAUAUUAAUGCUGAAUUCAAUGUAAAUCGAUAUUUUGGUGCUACAGCCAAAAGUUGCUUCAUUGUAAUUGAAGGCUGAAUAACAUCCAAAUCCUUCAGAAUGUCGUAGGGUUCCAUAUUGAAAGUAAUUUCUAAUGCUCUUUUGCGUUUCAUUGGUUUCGAUUUUACUCCGUUCAACAGCAAUUCCUUCCUGGCGAUUGGGAUUGCCGUUGAUAACUUUGCCAACUUUUCUACCACUAAAGAUUCCUCUAAUGCGUAAGAUCUUUUAUUGGGCUGUACAAGUAUUGGUAGUUGGUUAGUUGGGAUCGUUCUUGAUGGUCCUGGCAAAUUGGUACAUGGAACCGAAUUGAGUUCCUCAGUCUGUUGAGGUCUCAAUAUUGAAAUACGUCCCAAUACUGAUAUUGGUUUGUUUAGUCUCAUGGACGGUGCUACUUGCUCUGCUGCGAUUGAUUCAUCCAGGUCUUGAAUAAGAUUCUUGUCUUUUUAUUGGCCUUUGGUAAGUACUGCGCUCACUACCUCAACACAAUGUACUGGUGAGUCUCGUUGAAUAGGGCCUUUGUCCUCCGUCGGUUGGCUUGUUUGUAUUUUCUGAUCCUGAUUAUUAUAAUUAAAAGGUGCAUUGCAUUGUUGAUAAGUGUGACCAGACUGCUUACAAUUUCCACAUAUUGGAGCAUAGUCAUCACUAGCCCUUGGAUUAGGACAUUCACUCGCAUAAUGUCUGAUUUUUCUGCAACAAUAGGAACAAAGUGGUCUCCUGCCAACUCCCUCAGGGAUAUUGGAUGUCUCUACUGGUAUAUAACGGCUAGGUCUAUUCCAUGUCGGAUGAAUAAAGGGUCCUGAUUGACCCAUUGUUACUAUAGAUUCUGGCAUUAGCUUCGUCAUGGAUAGAUAUUGAUGGUAUCCUGGUUGGUUCAUCGCCAAUCUCUGAGUAUUAGAUACACCUUCUUGGUGAAAUUCAGAGUUUAAAAAAUUUGAAUAGUUCAUGUUUUGUUUAUUCACUCGAUUUCCAUUCCAGCCAAACCUAUUUCCCGUUUGCACUUGAUUGAUGUUCUAUUGGGUUGGUUGAGUCAUUAUCUGGUUACUGAGUUAUUGUUACUUCCAUAAAUUCUAAUAGUUGGUGCUAAUAUGCUUGCCCCUGCAAAAGGUAUAUUGUACAGUCAUUUGGGGAGGUGAAGAACAUUUUGUUAUUAAAUGACCUUGUCCCUUACAAUUGCUCCACCAGACAUUGGGACACAUAUUAGUUGGUUAAUACCUUUUUUCUUUAUCCUUGGCCAAAUUCACAGCCAAUUCAUCCAUUUUUUUUGUCAAUGUUAACAGCAAUGACUCAUUGGGAUCCCUUGAUAUCAAUGCAUUUGGCAAUUCCUUCGUAGGUAUUGAUUUUUGAUACGCUGAAUAAGGUGCAUAUGGGUGUGAUGAUGAUGGUUGUAGAGCCUGUAAUGGAAUGACAUCUACGAUUCCUUGUGGAAUUGUACCAUAAUCAUUCCUUCCCAGAUAACCUUCCGAUGCAUCAUUCCAAUUUGUAAUUUGAUAACCUCCUUGAGAUGGAAUCAUCAUGGCUCCAACUGUUAAGUUUUGGUCAUAGUAACAUUCCUUCCAUACUUUUGCUCGCUCAAGAGAUGAUGCAAUGGUGGCUGAUUGGACCUCCUUUAUAAACAUCUUCAAUUCUGGUGGAUGUAGUCCAUUAACCAAUAUGGACAACAUAAACAAUUCCGGCAUUUGGUUAUUUAGCCAUUUUCGAAGUAUAUCUGCUACGUGACCAUAAUAUAACUGUACCGCUUUCUCUGGUACCAUUCUAUUGUUCAUUAAUUUUUCUCUAAGAUGUUCUUCAAAACCAAUUGGUCGAAAAUGGGCUAAAAAUAUAUUUUUCAAUGCCUCCCAAUUGAUAAAUUAUUCCACAGGUUGGCAGUUAUACUACUCAAACGCUAUGUCUUUCAAUGUCAUUGGCAGCCAUCUCAGCCAAAUGUCUUCUAUUCUUUCAUUAUUAGCUACACAUGCUGUAAGAAACUAAGACAAAUGUUGAUCGAGAUCCGUAUCCAAAAAUCUCCAAAAAGUAGGUAGUGGCAUGACACUAGUCGUACGAUUGCCCACUGCACCCAUUUGAACUGCAAUCGGAACUGUUGGUCCUUCGGACGUCAUUAAAGAUGCCAGUGUUUUGCUCAAUUUCUUAUUAAAAUAAAAACUGACUUCCGCAAAAGUUUUUUUUGGACUUCUAGGCCUUCCCAAUUGACUAUUAUUAUCCCCAAAUAAUUUUACUAGUUGAAUAUGAGGUGAAAACGACAUGUUUUGAUAUACUCUGAAUUGGUCUUUAUUGGCAAGUGAUUUAUGCCGAUCUUUAGAACCAGUCUUGUUAAAAUCGGACAUAUCUCCAAUUAGAAAAAUACCCAAUGGGGUACCUAAUUCCUCUGUGCCUUCCUCGCUUUCCGUUAACAGCUUCGAGAGGUAUGCUGGACUAUUAGCAGCGCUCUUUGGAAGUGCUAUUGGUAAUUUUUUUAAUGGUAUAUACUUCUGAAAUAUUUGAGGUCGAUCGUCUUCUGGGUACAAUCGAAUAUGCCGACAAGCAUGCAACCAUGGCUUAAUCCAACUUUAUCGAUGCUUCUUUUUCAAUUUGCGAUCUCGCUCAUUAUGCAACAAAUUUCUUGCUUAUGAUCUCUCUGUUCUUUUCUUUGAUUGAUUUAUUCUCUUUUCUGUUAAAUUCUCAUUCUUAAUAACCAUAAUCUUGCUUCAAACACUACUGAAAUCGUCUUCUAUUGCCAAUUUUCUCACACGUUUGGUAAUUAAUUCCUAACACUCAAAGCUAUUAUCACUCUUCGGCCGUGGCACCAAAAUGUGAUUGCUCAUUUUACUUAUUCCAAAUUAAUCUAAUGGGAAUAAACCCAUAUAGGGAGAUUUGAACAUGGGAAAUGACUAGUUGCUUAAGCGUUCAUGUUAGGGUCACACAAUCAAUUACCUCCUGAAUGUAUCGUCUCUAUUUCUAAUAUCUGAACACACAAGGAAACUAUAAUCUCCUCCUUCACCUUAUCGGUCUCUUCUUCACAGCAAUUCAUUCAUACCAAUAACUCCUAUUUCUACUAAUAUAUUCACCCUCAUAAUCUCCAAUUGUAAUACUUCACCCUCACAGCUUUCAGUACACAAUUACCCUCAUUCCAAUCACUGGAAUUCUUCACACAGAACUGCCAUUCACAUUAUGGUAUUUCACACAAACACAGACUCAUUCUCUCUGUUGAACUACAAUCAGAUUUCAGCAUUCAAUCUUUCUUCUUCUCAAAUAAUACCAAUCACAUUUCCAUUUCAUAAUUCACUUCACAAUAUUCAGAAACAUUCAAUCUUCUUAUUCAAAGAAAAUAACAAACAAAAGAAAAGAGAUAGCACCAAGCUUACCUCGGCUCACACUAUCACAGCGAUG
rnacentral:lncRNA from 1 species